GGUGCUCCGAUGCUCUAGAUUACGCGAAGACCUUACCAGCGUUUGACAUGGGAAGUGCCGGUUACAGAAUGGUAACCUUCAGUUCGGCUGGCUUCCGCACAGGUGCUGCAUGGCUGUCGUCAGCUCGUGUCGUGAGAUGUUGGGUUAAGUCCCGCAACGAGCGCAACCCUUAUCGUUAGUUACUAACAGUUCGGCUGAGGACUCUAGCGAAACUGCCGGUGAUAAGCCGGAGGAAGGUGGGGAUGACGUCAAGUCCUCAUGGCCCUUACACGCUGGGCUACACACGUGCUACAAUGGUAACUACAACGGGACGCAAUACCGCGAGGUGGAGCGAAUCCCAAAAAGCCGGUCUCAGUUCGGAUUGAGGUCUGCAACUCGACCUCAUGAAGUCGGAGUCGCUAGUAAUCGUAGAUCAGCAACGCUACGGUGAAUACGUUCCCGGGUCUUGUA
rnacentral:rRNA from 1 species